rnacentral:rRNA from 2 species
CCUGGCGGCCUCAGCGCGGUGGUCCCACCUGACCCCAUGCCGAACUCAGAAGUGAAACGCCGUAGCGCCGAUGGUAGUGUGGGGUCUCCCCAUGCGAGAGUAGGGAACUGCCAGGC